CUGUAAGGAACAGCAUGGUUUCAAGCUUUCCAUCCACAGCAAGUAGUCAGUAUGUGUGUGUGUGUGAGUGUCAGUAAGCUUGUGUUGUGCGCCUGUGUUAGUGAGCUUGUGUGUGUCAAUGAGCCUGUGUUUAGUAAGCUUGUGUGUGUCAAUAAGCUUGUGUGUACUGAGCCCGUGUUUAGUGAGCUUGUGUGUAGUGAGCGUGUGUGUGUGUGUUUGAGCUUGAGUUUAGUGAACUUGUGUGUGUGUUUGGUGAGCUUGUGUAUAGUGAGCUUUUGUGUUUGUGUGUCAGUGAGAUUGUGUUUAGUGAUCGUGUAUGUGUGUCAGUGAGCUUGAGUUUUUUGUUAAGCGUGUGUAGUGAGCUUGUGUUCAUGUGAGUGAGCCGUCUGUAGUGAGCUGUGUGAGCUUGUGUGUAUGUCAGUGAGUUUUCAGUAGUGAACUGUGUGUAGUGAGCUUGUGUGUGUCAGUGAGCGGUUUAUAGUGAGCUGGGAGAUUGUGUGUAGUUAGAAGUUUGUAGACCACUUGUAUAUGUCAAUGUGCUUUCUGUAGUGAGAUUGGUGUGCGUAGUAAGCGGUGUGUAGUGAUUAUUUCUAUAGUAAGAUUGAAUGUCUGUGGGUGAGCUUGUGUUUAGUGAGAUUUCUGUAGUGAGCUGUGUUGUGAUUUUUCAGACUUGUCUUGUGAGUGAGCUUGUGAAUGUGUCAAUGACCUUCUGUUGAGUGAGCUUGUGUGAGUGUCAGUGAGUUUUCUGUAGCGAGCUGUGUGUCAGUGAGCUGUCCAUAAUGACCUGUGGGUUACAGUGAGCAGUAUAUCCUGCUCACUUAAAUGUGAGUACUUUAUUUUUCUAUAUUAACCUGCCUUAUAAUAUAUACAGUGAGCACUAUAUUUGGUUUUACUUUCUCUCCAUACCGAGGACCUCCUCUGCCUACCAACACCUAUAUCCUACCAGUGGGGGAUCAAAGCCACUGAAUGCCAGUUAUACCUGAGCUAGUUCUAGCUCUCCAAUAGGUGAGUGAGAAUACCACCCCUGCUGUGAAGUUUUUCCCUUUCCAUUUUGUCAGUUGCAGUUUGCACUAUUGGAGUUUUUCUUUUAUUUUCACAUAUUCUAACCUGAAUCAAGAGAACUUAACCAUUUCAAGAUCUACAACCCAUACAGAUAUACAUCAAACCCAAGCUCCUGCAAGUCUACCUGGUUUUCUACCUGUCCAUUUAAU